AACUUUCAGCAACGGAUCACUUGGCUCUCGCAUCGAUGAAGAACGCAGCGAAAUGCGAUAAGUAAUGUGAAUUGCCGAUUUUCAGUGAAUCAUCGAAUCUUUGAACGCACCUUGCGCUCCUUGGUAUUACGAGGAGCAUGCCUGUUUGAGUGUCAUUAAAUUCUCAACCGCCGGAUGUUUCGACCUCCGGUUGGCUUGGACUUGGAGUGUGCUGGCGAAAGUCGGCUCCUCUCAAAUGCAUCAGCGGAAUUCAACCUUUGGCUUCCGGACAUCAGUGUGAUAACAACGUUGCGCUGUCGUCUGAAAUCGAAGAGUCCGCUUCAUAAUGGUCUUCGGACAAACAUUGACAAUCAGAUUUGACCUCAAAUCAGGUAGGACUACCCGCUGAACUUAAGCAUAUCAAUAAGCGGAGGCU
rnacentral:misc_RNA from 1 species